AUGCAAAUCCUAGAUGGGUUUGGGGAGGCCACAGGGCUGCACUGCAAUCCCCAUAAAUCAUCAGUAGUGGCUCUCAACUACGACAACUUAGACCUCACGGACGUCCUGUGCAACUUCGGCGGCAAAAGAGUAGGUUUCCUGAUCAGGUACCUAGGUCUCCCCCUCUGCGCAGUCAAGUUACGGCUUUUUCACAUCCACUUCCUCCUCGACCGCGUUUGCACACGGUUGGUGGCAUGGAAGGGCCGACUCAUGCCAAUCGCAGGGCGUCGCGUGCUCAUUCGGAGCGUCCUGUCAACGCUGCUUGCAUUUGCGAUGGCCGUCCUGCGCAUCCCAAAGAAAUUCUACAAAGAUGUAGAUAAGGCAAGACGGCCAUUCCUAUGGGCGCAGGACGAGGAGAUUGCCGGCGGGAAGUGCAAAGUAAACUGGCGGAUGGUCACGUCGCCAGUGGACCGCACGCAGCCUCGGGAUCCUUGA
rnacentral:rRNA from 1 species